rnacentral:rRNA from 1 species
UACGUAGGGGGCAAGCGUUGUCCGGAUUUAUUGGGCGUAAAGAGCGUGUAGGCGGCCAGGUAGGUCUGCUGUGAAAACUCGAGGCUUAACCUCGAGCUGUCGGCGGAAACCAUCUGGCUAGAGUCCGGAAGAGGAGAAUGGAAUUCCCGGUGUAGCGGUGAAAUGCGCAGAUAUCGGGAAGAACACCGGUGGCGAAGGCGGCAUUCUGGACCGAUAUUGACGCUGAGGAGCGAAAGCCAGGGGAGCAAACGGG